ACAAAAAGAGUAUUUCUGUGGAACAGGAACCUGUGGGAGGAGAAUGUGCCAUGCAUUUGCCUUGGGUGACCUUCUUUCUGAACAUACAAAGGAUAUUCUCAUGAUUUAUGAACAAGAAGCAGAAGAGUGGGCUCUGUAUUUAAAAACUCUUUUCAAACACAUAGUGAAUGAAGAAGGAAUCUUGCUCUACAGCCUCGAGAGUUCUUCUAUCAAGCACCUGGAGUUAUUCUCUUUAUCCUGUUAUAAAUGUAAAGUGCUGAUACUGUCGUGUGGACUUCUUGAAAGUCUGAAUCAAAAGAGAAGUUAUUUUCUCGAGCAAGUUCUCAAACCUCCAAAUAAUGUGGUGAUUCUGCUUUGCGGGGUAGAGAAUUCAGAUAUUCUCUAUGAUGUACUGACUUUGGAGAAAGGCAGCAAAGAGAUCUCCACUGAUCAAGAACCUGAGGAAUAUCUCUCCAUUGUUACUGGAAUUAUUCAAUCAGGUAAACCACAGAAUGAAAACUUUGAAGACUCCCUGUCUUAUGUAUAUGAGGCAGUUCUUACAGAUGGUUACCAGAAUAACACCAAUGUUAACUUGUCAAGUAUCAGAGGAGCAUCAGAAGAAACAGAUCUUUGUUUGGAAACAGGGGUAGUUUCUGAAACAUUAGAAACUAACCGACGAUCAGCGUUGGUGCUUCCAGCUAGGAUAUCAUGUGAAAACCCUGGUGAAAUAUUCAUUUUGUUGAAAGAUGAAGUAGAUGAUGAAACUUUAGAAAUUGAAUUCAUAGCCGACGAUCAAAGAAUUAGGACACAGCCAGCCCCUUGGAAUCAGAAGGUCAAGUACAUGAAAGCCUUAGAUUUUCCUCCUGGCCCUGUAUAUGUAAAUGUCUACUGCGGGGGAGUCAUUAAGGCCACAGCACAGAUCGAAUACUAUACUGCACUAGAGGAGAUUGAGAAUGUUCUCAAAAAAGUGGCUGACCCAAUAGCUUUUGCUUGUCAGACUUUUAAGGUCUGUUCUGCAGAGAAGAUGGACAAUGUUUUGACUCUGUUACUGAAAAGCAAGAUGUCUGCUUCUGAAUUCAGCACAUUCCAAAGUGAAGAAGAGCACCAUCAACAAGCUAAUAGCCAUUUGGAAGAACUUCCCACUCUCCUUCACUGUGCAGCCAAAUUUGGCUUAAAGAACCUUGCUGCUCUUCUGCUCAGAUGUCCCAAGGCCAUACAGGCUUGCAACAUAACCAACAAAGAUGGAGAUGAUCCAGCAGGUAUUGCUGGAAAGCAUGGUCACAAGGAAGUACAAAAAUUAAUCAGAGAUUUUUUGAUUAAUAUGUCAGAUAACUUCACCAAUUAUGAGGAGGAAGUGGAAGAGGAUGACACUUACAUCGUUAUGUUAGGCUCAGAAACUCAACCGACCAUUACAUUAAAAGCCAAGCAGAACCCAGGGGAUCAGCAUGGAAUUGGAUCAAGAUGCCAAAGAGAAGCUGAGGUGGAUGAAGAAAAGAAAGACAAUGUAGAAGAUGGCCUGGAAGAAACAGAGAAAGAACAUGAGGAAGAUAAAGUAGGGGAAGAUUCAUAUAGCUUCAAUAACAAGCCUGACAGUUUGUACGCCAACAUACUUGAUGACAGUCCUGAAGAGAACAGAAGAGACUGCUUUUUCUAUAAGAGGCCACCCCUUCUUCCCCCUCGAAAUCUGCCUGGCACCUUCAAACAGGAUGAUCUGCACAAUUUAUCACAAGAGAGGAAUCUGAUGGAAGACAGAAGUGAAAGAGAACAUGGUGAUGGAGACUUAACAGCGUGUUACGGAGAAGACCCAGAUACAUAUGAGGGAGAUGGUGAGGAGGAGGACCCGUACACUUUUGCUAAGUUGGAUGAGUCUGUGUACGAUAUAAUACUGGCUAAUGAGGAGAAGGAGAAAAGGAAAGAACGCAGGUCUUUUAUUGUGAACAGGCCUCCAGCUCCUGCCCCUCGUCCUAUAUGUUCAGCAGUCAGAGAGGAGAACACUCCCUAUAUAGUGCAAGUGUUUCAGCAAAAGGCCACUAGACCGCCCCGUGACCAUGAGAAGAUGUGCUGCGAUGUCAGGAAGCAAGCACACAGAGGCCAUGGUGAUGCGGUCACUUACAGCACUUUGAAACAGACCAUUUCUGUGAAUGAAGCACUUGAAAAAUUUAAACAAUGGCAGAAUGAAAAGAGCAGACUGCAAUCUGCUCAGCAGAAGGUACACCACCUUAGAGGAACCAACAUCAGAAACAGACUGGAAAAGGAAAAUCUGCACGGUAAGUUACACUUUAUUCGCCUUUCAAAACACUGACGACUUGAACUGUAAAUAAAUAUACUGCAAAGACCUGCUGCAGAUCAUAAGCAGACUUUUGGAUCAGGCACUGGGUUUGUAAUGAGCAUUUUCUAUCUUAUUGCAUCGAAGUGUUGUGUGUUUAAAGUAAUCGGUCCUUUAGAAGGGUCAAGAUUUUGUCCCAAAAGAUGAGCUCAGUGAGAGUUAGUGGGGCAGAAAAUUUACCAGUUCUGCACAGUUCAGCUUUUCUAUAGUUGCUAUUUCCUACUGCUUUGUUAUACUUAGAAUAAAUGAUUUAUUCAGGACAAUUUAAUUGAUGAAUUCAAUAUUUUAUUGGUAAAUCAGCUGUCAGUUUACACUUGUAAAUUCUUGAUAAACCUUCCACUGCUACAGUACUAAUAGUAUUGCGAUUCAUUAAUAACAGCUGUACAAUUGGUAAUUUAAGAUGCUUUUUUUCCCUUUGGAAUUGAAUGCCUUCAGCAGUAUAAUUCACCUAUAUUUCCUAUAAAUUAUUUUCUCUUGUUGUGUCAGUCUUGACUGCAGACCCAAGAUUUCUGUAAACGUCAGUACAUAUAGGUUCUUGGAAGUAAAGUACUGUAUUUCUUUUUCACAUUACACUUAGAACCCUCAACAUAAAUUUCUAUUUAUAAUUAUCACCUAAGUAUAAGUUAUUUCCUUACAAUAAGGGAGAAAAAUAAUCCAUAGUACUACUUCCAUUAUUCCAUUAAACAGCGUUGCAUUUAUGUAGACCUGCAUUUAUGUAGCAUUCAGUCAGUAGCUCUUUACUGAAAAACAUUUUUUUAAUAUCUUUUAGCUGUAUCAAUGACUGAAUUACCAGAUAAAAGCCUACCUAAACACUAAUACUAUUUAAUUGUAGCGAAUGGUAAUACCCUCUGAACAUAAGAACAAUUAUUCUAAGGUUUGGCUUUAAGAUUCUACUUAACAUACAAAUGCAUGCAGUUUAGGCUCCAGCGGUUUGGGAACAAAACUGAAUAUGAAAGGAGAAAUUCAUGUGCUCUUUUUGAAACAUAUUUAAAAAGCAAGCAUGCACCUCUGUGAAAGGUAGGAAGGUGACAGAAAUAAUAAUUGUAACAGUGGAUUUGCCAGCCCCUCCCAAUGGGGAAAAUCGCCAUUGAACGUCACCCAAAAGGUAAGUGGUAAUACCUGGUGCUUGGUUGAUGGGUUUGUUUAAGUGCUUUAGGCUUGCCUCCCCCACCCCUCCCCGCAUAUCCUCUGUGACAAAGUCCUGUGCAGAAAUGCACUUGUCAUCAGCAAGUUCUUCCUUUCAGAGGAAUUCUAGAUUAUUUAUAUUUGAGCCUUACAAACCUGCAUAGCCGGUAGAGGUGCAGCAUUCUAAGCAUGGCAGCAGGCUGAGAUCCUGCCCUGCCCUGCCCAGCCUGCCAAGUGCUCCUAUUGGCAAGGCAGAGCUCGCGAUGAUGCAAGCGUGAUUCUUGGAAACAAGAAUCUGGCUGUAGGGUUUAUCUAUCUGUAGGGUUUUCUCCUAAGACCACGUCAGUCAACGAAUCAUACCAGCCAGGUCAACAGAAAUGUAGUAUCAACAAGAGAAUUUUAAAUUUUGUGAAACAGUAAGGCUUUUGUAUUCUCCACUAACUCAGAUAAUGAUCACUAUGUUCCCUUCUGAUCCUAACCUCUCUGCCCUUUGUUACACUGUCUUAUAGCUCAUGAUGCAUUUAAAAUCAGCUGCUUUGCACUGUAGAGAUACAAUGAGAAGAAUCAUUACAGAUGGCCCCUGUCCUACCUAACAGCACACUCAUUACCAAAGAUAUAAGUUACUGAAAACAGGAACUUUUAAAAGAUAAAUCUCCCCCUGGGAAUGGAGGCACACUAAUGGCAAGAAUAAACAGGACCUCAGAACAGCAAUACCUAAAUUCAGACAUAAAUAAAUUUCCUGAAGCAAAAGUGACAAUUGCAUUUUUUUUCUUCUUUCUGUAGUUCAUAAGGAAAGCAGACCAGAGAGCGUUCAUUUUAGAGACUUGUUAUACUACAUGCCAUUUAAUAAAGUGUCUCCAACUAGAAACCCAACAGACAAG